ACCUGGGUGGCUCAGUGUUUGAGCAUCUGCCUUUGGUUCAGGUUAUGGUCCCAGGGAUCGAGUCCUGCCUCAGGUU
rnacentral:tRNA from 1 species